rnacentral:lncRNA from 1 species
CCCAGGCCUCAGCCAGGGCAGGAAGUGUUCCUGGGACCAGGGCCCUCCUCCUUGACCACCCCACCCCCAACAAGGACACCUUAUGGGGGCAGGGCAAUAUGUGACCACUCAGAUCCCACCCUUGCACAAGGGCCCACGUAGGAGGAAGGAGACCCAGCGUGUCCCCCAGCGCUGUCGCUAGGAGCCAGAGUCACUCACACCACAGCUUCCAUCCUCCGUGAUCUGGUCUGCACAAGCACUCCAUCCUGCAGUUAGUCCAGCCCUGCAAACGGAGCCCGAGUCAGGACGGACCCAACCUGGCCUUUCAGGACCCGGCCUCUGCAGGCUCCACAUUUCUUCUGAUGUGGCCACCCAUAGGCUGGUGCUGGAGUAGACUUCAAGGUGACCGCUCACCCCCCAGGAGGUGGAGCAAGAACCCUCCACCCUCAGCAUCCCCUCAGCCAGACCAGCACGUGGGCCCGGAGAGAAGGAAUCCGAGCACACGCCUCUCACCCCCUGCCACCCUUACCCUGCUUCCUCCAUGGUCCCUCGUGGGGAAGGAGUGGCUCUGCACUUCCUGUUUGCCAUUACCUGAGCCCUUGCCACCUGGGGAGUGAUAAACUUUGUGAUCUCAUCAGCCAAGCCUGGACUUCCAUAUGCUACCGGAGGAUCUCUGUCAACAAUCCCCCUAUUUCCGCAAAGCCUGGACUUCCAUACCAUCAUCUCCAUAACGAGGUCAAAAAAGUCAGCUUGGAGUCCCGAGGAUGACCACUUCCCACCCCUUCCCUGUGGCAAUGUCUGAUGGCUCAUCCUCUGAGACGGCAGCUGCAAGAAAACGUGAAUGAAAGGGUGAUUUUAAAAAGGAAUCCGUUCAAAUAGUUAAGAUGAUGAUGAAAUGGACGCUCAGUGAAGGCCUCAAUUCCCUCACUUUCAAAAUGAAGAAAUGAAUUUGGAUGAUUUCUAAUGAAGUGCUGUCCAGUAGAAACAGAAUCCGUGCCCCAUAUGUAAUUUUACGUUUUCCAGUCUUCACUUUUUUCAAAAAGGAGAAAGCAACAGCAAAGAACUGUCUCCAGCGACCAUCCCCAGUAGAAAAGUGGUUUUUGCUUCGAUCCAUCACAAAGCACCACUGCCAUCUGGUGGCAGGAUCUUGAAUUGCAAGCAAAUUCCCCAAGAUUAAAUACGCUCUAGGAAAGUGAUUCUCAAAGCGUGUUCUACUGAUAGCCUCCAAUUUACCAUGCGAGCUUCUUUAAAAUGCACAUUGCUGGGUCCCAUUGAAUCUGAAUCUCCAGGAUAGACUACAAACACCCACAUUUCAAAUAAAUUUCCCAAGUGAUCUUCAUGCAUACUCAAAUUUGAAAAUCAUUGAUCUAAAGAACAUGCCUACAUGGUGCAACCACAGAAAACUCGGAGACAGUCAGUAUCAAGGGCGGACUCAUUUUUCUGUGAUGCUGCUCUGAUAUUUUGAAGACUGCUGCUUUCUCUUUGUAGUCUGAUGGGUUCUAUGGAGUUGUGUUGUUUCU